rnacentral:rRNA from 1 species
AGAGUUUGAUCCUGGCUCAGGAUGAACGCUAGCUACAGGCUUAACACAUGCAAGUCGAGGGGAAACGACAUCGAAAGCUUGCUUUUGAUGGGCGUCGACCGGCGCACGGGUGAGUAACGCGUAUCCAACCUGCCCACCACUUGGGGAUAACCUUGCGAAAGUAAGACUAAUACCCAAUGACGUCUCUAGAAGACAUCUGAAAGAGAUUAAAGAUUUAUCGGUGAUGGAUGGGGAUGCGUCUGAUUAGCUUGGUUGGGCGGGGUAACGGCCACCAAGGCGACGAUCAGGUAGGGGUUCUGAGAGGAACGGUCCCCCANAUUGGAACUGAGACACGGUCCAAACUCCGUACGGGAGGCA